GCAUUAAUGGGGUAGUGGUAACCUGGGUCGUUGCCACGUGAUUUGGACUUUCGUUGACAUAAUCUUCGUAGUUCGACCCGCCGGGGGUUCGAUUCCCCCUUAAUGCA